ACGUACAAGCAGUGGGAGCAUGAGUUUACUCGUGUGACUGCGUACCUUUUGUAUAAUGGGUCAGCGACUUAUAUUCUGUAGCAAGGUUAACCGUAUAGGGGAGCCGUAGGGAAACCGAGUCUUAACCGGGCGUUAAGUUGCAGGGUAUAGACCCGAAACCCGGUGAUCUAGCCAUGGGCAGGUUGAAGGUUGGGUAACACUAACUGGAGGACCGAACCGACUAAUGUUGAAAAAUUAGCGGAUGACCUGUGGCUGGGGGUGAAAGGCCAAUCAAACCGGGAGAUAGCUGGUUCUCCCCGAAAGCUAUUUAGGUAGCGCCUCGUGAACUCAUCUCCGGGGGUAGAGCA
rnacentral:rRNA from 1 species